CUAUUUAAAUCCCAUCGAAUCCUGCACAUUCAAUUUAUUGACAGGCAACAACCCUUUGAAAAUAGAAACGUCAUCCUCCCAUCACUAAUUUGAAAUUCCGUCAUUUGCCUCCGUAUCCAGCAUGAUGUACAUAUUCAACUAGAUAAAAUAUCUUUGGAGUUGAAAUUUCUCACCGAGAGCUUCCCAUCAUGGAAGGAGAAUCCACAGCCGACAAGGUUCAUCUCCUUCACUUCUCUAAAACUUUGCCAGUCUGCAUGGUCAAACCUUAGUCUUGGUGUUAAUACUUAUGGAAUGGAUCGGAAUUUUAUGCCGAAGCAACCCUUUCCAUGAUGCAUGACAUGACUUCAUCUGGUUCUCCAUCCUCCCAUAACAAAUCCAAAUCUCAUUCAAAUUUUUAUUCCCUCAAUUUUUGCAUGUCAGAAGAAAAGAGUUGGAGAUUUAUAAAAAUCACGUUUUUUUCAACUCAUACACAACAGCCUAAUCUUUGAGAAGAUGUGAUUUCUAAUGCGAGAAGAAGAGUACCUUUUUGAUCUUAAAGGUUGAUGAUAGCGCAAAUGGUACGCAGGCAAAUGUCAGUUUUUGCUGAUUACAAAAAUCAUCUUGUAAUACUCGAGACGCAUUUGUGAAAGGAGCUGGACUGGAAUUGCUUUGGUUGAAAAGAAGGAGUGAGCAAAUGUUUCACGGCACAAAAGAUUACACUACCUCGGCAUUUUUUCCUACCUGCGUUGCAUUGCAUGGUCACGUCAAGUACCAGAAGAGCUGCUGGAUGGAUUGAAUUAACAUGACACUUGGGAAUGAGCCAUUUAUAAAACAUCAGCCAACGACUCUAAUGUCAUUAAACUUUUGUGACAUUGUAGAGAUUAAGAAGUCAGGAUGAAAUCGUUGUCAUUUGACGCCUUUUCGUCGAGAAGAUCGAUGUGUCUAUGUACGUAUUUAAAUAUGUACACAUACGAGAUCCAGGUUUAAAUUAUUUCCAUUUCGUCUGAAUUAUUUAUUAAGAGAACAAAUUAAUUGAGUCGGGUUACCUGAUUUGCAAACACAAAACCGAAAAAGUGGGUCACACAAUUGUAACCAAAAUUCUGUAAAUUGGAAUUCCUAAUCUAAUCGUGGUUUAGUCAAAUUUCGUAGAUUUUAGUAGAGUUUAUAGCCGAGGACAAGGUAUUAAAUUGAGUCGAGUUGAUCAAUGAGCCCUAUAGUUUUCAUAUAAUAAAUACAUUGCGAAGUAA